rnacentral:rRNA from 1 species
UACGGGGGGGGCAAGCGUUGUUCGGAAUUACUGGGCGUAAAGGGCUCGUAGGUGGCCAACUAAGUCAGACGUGAAAUCCCUCGGCUUAACCUGGGAACUGCGUCUGAUACUGGAUGGCUUGAGUUUGGGAGAGGGAUGCGGAAUUCCAGGUGUAGCGGUGAAAUGCGUAGAUAUCUGGAGGAACACCGGUGGCGAAGGCGGCAUCCUGGACCAAUACUGACACUGAGGAGCGAAAGCCAGGGGAGCAAACGGG